AAUACCUCAUCGAUCAAGGCAAAAUAAUUGUUCCACAAGAGGACACUCCUCAAUCGAACCCCAACCAGAAUAUUAGGAUUUUCAAGGAUCCAUUGCCUCAGCAUGGGUCAGUCGCAUUUGCAACUCCAGAAGUUUUGACCCUACUGAGCAAGUCAUGCUAUCACGACAAAUGAAUAUAAUUUGGAAUAGGAGUAAUUCGUCUUUGAUGAGCCGUCAGGUGAAGACCCAUCCCAAUGGUUGGAAUCCAAAGAUAGUAGUGAGGGAGUGCCCGCCAUUCCAGAGAAGAAAAGCAUGGGUCAAAAAAUAGCAGAAGAACGAAGGAGGAAAGCUUGAGAAUUGCUUGCCGAUCGAGAGGAAUCCGAAAGCC
rnacentral:lncRNA from 1 species